GAUCCUGCUCAGGAUGAACGCUGGCGGCGUGCCUAACACAUGCAAGUCGAACGAAGCAAUUAAAAUGAAGUUUUCGGAUGGAUUUUUAAUUGACUGAGUGGCGGACGGGUGAGUAACGCGUGGAUAACCUGCCUCACACUGGGGGAUAACAGUUAGAAAUGACUGCUAAUACCGCAUAAGCGCACAGUACCGCAUGGUACAGUGUGAAAAACUCCGGUGGUGUGAGAUGGAUCCGCG
rnacentral:rRNA from 1 species